GUCGAACGCGCAGCAUUCUGUAGCAAUACAGGGUGUGGGCGCGUGGCGAACGGGUGCGUAACACGUGGAUAACCUUCCUUCAGGUGGGGAAUAACCCAGUGAAAAUUGGGCUAAUACCGCAUAACAUGACGAUGCCACAUGGUGUUGUCUUCAAAGCCGCAAGGCGCCAGAAGAGGGAUCCGCGGCCGAUUAGCUUGUUGGCGAGGUAAUGGCUCACCAAGGCAUUGAUCGGUAGCCGGACUGAGAGGUUGGCCGGCCACACUGGAACUGAGACACGGUCCAGACUCCUACGGGAGGCAGCAGUGGGGAAUCUUGCACAAUGGACGAAAGUCUGAUGCAGCAACGCCGCGUGGGGGAUGAAGCUUUUCGGAGUGUAAACCCCUUUCGACCCGGAAGAAUGCCCGCAAGGGUUUGACGGUACGGGUAUAAGAAGCCCCGGCUAACUACGUGCCAGCAGCCGCGGUAAUACGUAGGGGGCCAGCGUUGCUCGGAAUUACUGGGCGUAAAGGGUCCGUAGGCGGUGUGGCAAGUCGGGAGUGAAAUCUCUGGGCUUAACCCAGAGGCUGCUUCCGAAACUGCCAUGCUAGAGUGUGAGAGAGGCGAGUGGAAUUACGGGUGUAGCGGUGAAAUGCGUAGAUAUCCGUAGGAACAUCCGAGGCGAAGGCGGCUCGCUGGAUCACAACUGACGCUGAGGGACGAAAGCUAGGGGAGCAAACAGGAUUAGAUACCCUGGUAGUCCUAG
rnacentral:rRNA from 1 species